rnacentral:lncRNA from 1 species
ACAUAGGUGAAAGUCCCUGAUUUUUUAACCAAUUAUAGUGAACCCUAUAAAUAUGUUAAUGAAACCUUAAGACAUUGGUGCGUGGCAAAGGAGCACAGCAUGAAUUCUUAGAUCUUUAAUAGUUGCUUUUAAUUUUUUGGGGAUCCUAGGGCAAUUCAUACUGUUAAGGGGGUCCAGACGAUAUGAAGACAUCAUUUUGCAAAGUGUGCUCAACCCAAACCUAUUUCUUUGAAUCCGGACUUUGGAAAUCUCAUUGGGUGCAUGAUCAUUUCCUUUAUUGUCCUAGAUGAUAUUCCUCCGGGCACUAUAGUGAAAGCCCUCUCCAAAGAGUUUGGAAACCAUUAGCUUGGUUUUCCUACCGUGAGGAAAUUGAGAGUUUCCCCAUCUGGUAACAACACGUUGGUGGAUGCGUCCUUUUCAAUGGUCAUAUCGGUUCUUGGGUUGCGACCUCGACUAUAAAU